rnacentral:rRNA from 1 species
UACCAGCACCCCGAGUGGUCGGGACGAUUAUUGGGCCUAAAAGCAUCCGUAGCCGGUCAUGCAAGUCUUCCGUUAAAUACCAGCCGCUCAACGGUUGGGCUGCGGAGGAUACUACGUGGCUAGGAGGCGGGAGAGGCAAGCGGUACUCAGUGGGUAGGGGUAAAAUCCUUUGAUCCAUUGAAGACCACCAGUGGCGAAGGCGGCUUGCCAGAACGCGCUCGACGGUGAGGGAUGAAAGCUGGGGGAGCAAACCGG